UUUUUUUUUUUUUAAAUGGGUGUAGAGUUUCAAUUUUGCAAAACGAAAAUGUUCUGGAGCUCUAUUGUGAAACAACGUGAAUGUGCUUAACACUAUUGAACUGUAUGCUGAAAAACGAUUAAGAUGGUAAAUUUUAUCUUAGGUGUUUUUUACCACACACGUACAUAAAGUUAUUUAGCUAUUUCAUGUCAUACAAUAUAGUCUCAAUUUAGUAAAAUUAAAAUAUCAGUUCUAAGUAAUAGUCAAGACUUCAAUUUCGUGUAAGGGUUUGGAUUUCUUCCCCUGUGACUGGGGCCAGUUGCAGUUGAGAAUCUACCUUUAGCAAAGGAGGGCAUGAGGGCGAUAUUGGCAUUUAUAUAAUCCUCUUCAACCCUGGAUAUUGUGAACUAUAUCACAGCAGGGUGUACACCUUCUGCAAUAUUACUCCAAUAUUGGGAGUAAUAUUAUUCUCUUCCUUUUUGGAAAUUACAAACCAUAUUACAGGGGUGUUGUACACCCCUUGUGAUAUUGGGAGUAAUAUCAUUCUCUCACUUGUGGAUAUUAGGAAAAAUAUCACAUGGGGGAAGGGGUGUACACCCCCUGUGACGUUGGGCAUACUAUUAUCUUCUCCCCCAUUGGAUAUAAGAACAAUAUCACAGCGGGGUAUACACUUCCUGCAAUAUUGGAAGUAAUAUCAUCCUCUCCAACACUAGAUAUCAGGAACAAUAUCGUAAAAAGGGUAUACACUUCCUACAAUAUUGGGAGUAAUAUCAUCGUCUCCCCUCCCCUCCGCUGGAUAUUAGGAACAAUAUCACAAAAAAGGUGUUCACUCUGUGCGAUAUUGGGAAUAUCAUCAUCCUCUCCCUUUCUAUAUGUUAGGAACAAUAUCACAAAAGGGGUGUACACCCACUGCGAUAUUAAGAGUGAUAUCAUACUCUCCCCUUCUAGAUAUUAGAAAUAAUAUCACAGGGGAAUGUAACACUCAUGCGAUAUUGAAAGUAAUAUUAUCCUCUUCCCUUUCGGAUAUUAGGAACAAUAUCACAGGGGGGUGUACAUCCCUUGCGAUAUUGGGAAUAAUAUCAUCCCCUGCCCCCAUCGAUAUUAAGAAAAAUAUCACAGUGGGGGUGUACCCCCCCCACGAUACUGAGAUUAAUAUCUAUCUCUUCGCCUCCCCGGUUAUUAGGAACAAUAUCACAAGGGGUGUGUACAUAUCCUGCUCUGUUGGGAGUAAUAUCAUCCUCUCUUCCCCUGCGUAUUACAAACAAUAUUACAGGAGGGUUUGCCCCCAUGCAAUACUGGAAGCAAUAUCAUCUUCCCCACCCCAAAUACCAUAAACAAUAUCACAGGGGGAUGUACAACCCCUAGGAUAUUGGGAGUAAUAUCAUUCUGUCCCCUCCUGGACAUUAUGAAUAAUACCAUAGGGGAGUGUACACCCCCUGCGGUAUUGGAAGUAGUAUCAUCUUUCACCCCCCUCGAUAUUACGAACAGUAUCACAGGGGAGUGUACAUUCCCUGCGAUAUUGGAAGUAAUAUCAUUUUCUCUUCCCUUGGAUAUUACGGACAAUAUCAAAGGGGGACGUAUACACAGGGUGUUUACGAUAUUGGGAUUGAUAUCAUCCUCUCCCCUUCCCUGGAUAUUGUGAACAAUAUCACAGGGGUGUAUACACCCCCUUGGAUAUUCGGAGUAAUAUCAUCCUCUUCCCCCGCAUAUUUC
rnacentral:lncRNA from 1 species